rnacentral:rRNA from 1 species
CAGCCGCCACGGGAAUACGUAGGUGGCAAGCGUUAUCCGGAAUUAUUGGGCGUAAAGCGCGCGUAGGCGGUUUCUUAAGUCUGAUGUGAAAGCCCACGGCUCAACCGUGGAGGGUCAUUGGAAACUGGGAAACUUGAGUGCAGAAGAGGAAAGUGGAAUUCCAUGUGUAGCGGUGAAAUGCGCAGAGAUAUGGAGGAACACCAGUGGCGAAGGCGACUUUCUGGUCUGUAACUGACGCUGAUGUGCGAAAGCGUGGGGAUCAAACAGGAUUAGAUACCCCAGUAGUCCCUGUCUCUUAUAC